AUGGGGCCAACACAUCGCCUUUUGCUCCAUCCAUCUUAUCUCUUUCAGAGGCGCACACACCGCUUUUUGCUCCAUCCAUCUUAUCUCUUUCACAGGAGGGGCUCUCAGCCACUCCUUUUCCCCAGCACACGGCACCACUUUUUCUCUCGCAUCCUCUCUCCAAUCUCCUUAUUCAGCUCACCACCGGAGUGCUGCGAGACCACCACCGGUGCCGGCAACGGCGACCACCGAUAUACGAGCAGAAGCUGGCCUAGCGGAGUUGCAACCGCGGCGAUGGGAAGCUACAACCCUUGGUUGGCGGAGCUGCAACCGACGGUGGGUUGA
rnacentral:rRNA from 1 species